rnacentral:miRNA from 12 species
UGAAGAGAGAAUGCAAAGAGCCAGGCACUUUUUAGUGGUGCCCAAUGACAGAACCAGAGGCAAUGGACACAAACUGAAAGACAGGAGGUUCCCUCUGAGCAUCAGGCA